rnacentral:rRNA from 1 species
GGCGAACGGGUGAGUAACGCGUGAGGAACCUGCCUCAAAGAGGGGGACAACAGUUGGAAACGACUGCUAAUACCGCAUAAGCCCACGACCCGGCAUCGGGUAGAGGGAAAAGGAGCAAUCCGCUUUGAGAUGGCCUCGCGUCCGAUUAGCUAGUUGGUGAGGUAACGGCCCACCAAGGCGACGAUCGGUAGCCGGACUGAGAGGUUGAACGGCCACAUUGGGACUGAGACACGGCCCAGACUCCUACGGGAGGCAGCAGUGGGGAAUAUUGCACAAUGGGGGAAACCCUGAUGCAGCGACGCCGCGUGGAGGAAGAAGGUCUUCGGAUUGUAAACUCCUGUUGUUGAGGAAGAUAAUGACGGUACUCAACAAGGAAGUGACGGCUAACUACGUGCCAGCAGCCGCGGUAAAACGUAGGUCACAAGCGUUGUCCGGAAUUACUGGGUGUAAAGGGAGCGCAGGCGGGAAGACAAGUUGGAAGUGAAAUCCAUGGGCUCAACCCAUGAACUGCUUUCAAAACUGUUUUUCUUGAGUAGUGCAGAGGUAGGCGGAAUUCCCGGUGUAGCGGUGGAAUGCGUAGAUAUCGGGAGGAACACCAGUGACGAAGGCGGCCUACUGGGCACCAACUGACGCUGAGGCUCGAAAGUGUGGGUAGCAA